UCAGGAUGAACGCUGGCGGCGUGCCUAAUACAUGCAAGUCGAGCGAACGGACAGGAGUGCUUGCACUCCUUGAAGUUAGCGGCGGACGGGUGAGUAACACGUGGGUAACCUACCUAUAAGACUGGGAUAACUUCGGGAAACCGGAGCUAAUACCGGAUAAUAUAUACCUCCGCAUGGAGGAAUAGUCAAAGACGGUUCUGCUGUCACUUAUAGAUGGACCCGCGGUGUAUUAGCUAGUUGGUGAGGUAACGGCUCACCAAGGCAACGAUACAUAGCCGACCUGAGAGGGUGAUCGGCCACACUGGGACUGAGACACGGCCCAGACUCCUACGGGAGGCAGCAGUAGGGAAUCUUCCGCAAUGGACGAAAGUCUGACGGAGCAACGCCGCGUGAGUGAAGAAGGUUUUCGGAUCGUAAAACUCUGUUGUAAGGGAAGAACAAGUACGUUAGUAACUGAACGUACCUGAC
rnacentral:rRNA from 2 species